GGAGAGGUGGCAGAGUGGUCGAAUGCACCAGUCUUGAAAACUGGCAACGGGGUAACCCGUUCGAGGGUUCGAAUCCCUCCCUCUCCGCCA
rnacentral:tRNA from 1 species